rnacentral:rRNA from 1 species
GGUUAAGUUAGAAAGGGCGCACGGUGGAUGCCUUGGCACUAGGAGCCGAUGAAGGACGGGACGAACACCGAUAUGCUUCGGGGAGCUGUAAGCAAGCUUUGAUCCGGAGAUUUCCGAAUGGGGAAACCCACCACUCGUAAUGGAGUGGUAUCCAUAUCUGAAUACAUAGGAUAUGAGAAGGCAGACCCGGGGAACUGAAACAUCUAAGUACCCGGAGGAAGAGAAAGCAAAUGCGAUUCCCUGAGUAGCGGCGAGCGAAACGGGAUAAGCCCAAACCAAGAGGCUUGCCUCUUGGGGUUGUAGGACACUCUGUACGGAGUUACAAAGGAACGAGGUAGAUGAAGAGGUCUGGAAAGGCCGCCAUAGGAGGUAACAGCCCUGUAGUCAAAACUUCGUUCUCUCCUGAGUGGAUCCUGAGUACGGCGGAACACGUGAAAUUCCGUCGGAAUCCGGGAGGAACCAUCUCCCAAGGCUAAAUACUCCCUAGUGACCGAUAGUGAACCAGUACCGUGAGGGAAAGGUGAAAAGCACCCCGGAAGGGGAGUGAAAGAGAUCCUGAAACCGUGUGCCUACAAGUAGUCAGAGCCCGUUAACGGGUGAUGGCGUGCCUUUUGUAGAAUGAACCGGCGAGUUACGAUCCCGUGCAAGGUUAAGCAGAAGAUGCGGAGCCGCAGCGAAAGCGAGUCUGAAUAGGGCGAAUUGAGUACGUGGUCGUAGACCCGAAACCAGGUGAUCUACCCAUGUCCAGGGUGAAGUUCAGGUAACACUGAAUGGAGGCUUCGAACCCACGCACGUUGAAAAGUGCGGGGAUGAGGUGUGGGUAGGGGUGAAAUGCCAAUCGAACCUGGAGAUAGCUGGUUCUCUCCGAAAUAGCUUUAGGGCUAGCCUCAAGGUAAGAGUCUCGGAGGUAGAGCACUGAUUGGACUAGGGGCCCUACCGGGUUACCGAAUUCAGUCAAACUCCGAAUGCCGAUGACUUAUCCUUGGGAGUCAGACUGCGAGUGAUAAGAUCCGUAGUCGAAAGGGAAACAGCCCAGACCGCCAGCUAAGGUCCCAAAGUAUACGUUAAGUGGAAAAGGAUGUGGAGUUGCUUAGACAACCAGGAUGUUGGCUUAGAAGCAGCCACCAUUUAAAGAGUGCGUAAUAGCUCACUGGUCGAGUGACUCUGCGCCGAAAAUGUACCGGGGCUAAACGUAUCACCGAAGCUGCGGACUGUUCUUCGAACAGUGGUAGGAGAGCGUUCUAAGGGCUGUGAAGCAAGACCGGAAGGACUUGUGGAGCGCUUAGAAGUGAGAAUGCCGGUAUGAGUAGCGAAAGAGGGGUGAGAAUCCCCUCCACCGAAUGCCUAAGGUUUCCUGAGGAAGGCUCGUCCGCUCAGGGUUAGUCGGGGCCAUAAGCCGAGGCCGAAAGGCGUAGGCGAUGGAUAACAGGUUGAUAUUCCUGUACCACCUCCUCACCAUUUGAGCAAUGGGGGGACGCAGGAGGAUAGGGUGAGCGCGGUAUUGGAUAUCCGCGUCCAAGCAGUUAGGCUGGGAAAUAGGCAAAUCCGUUUCCCGUGAAGGCUGAGCUGUGAUGGCGAGCGAAUUAUAGUAGCGAAGUUCCUGAUUCCACACUGCCAAGAAAAGCCUCUAGCGAGGUGAGAGGUGCCCGUACCGCAAACCGACACAGGUAGGCGAGGAGAGAAUCCUAAGGUGAUCGAGAGAACUCUCGUUAAGGAACUCGGCAAAAUGACCCCGUAACUUCGGGAGAAGGGGUGCUCUGUUAGGGUGCAAGCCCGAGAGAGCCGCAGUGAAUAGGCUACCCAGGCGACUGUUUAGCAAAAACACAGGUCUCUGCGAAGCCGUAAGGCGAAGUAUAGGGGCUGACGCCUGCCCGGUGCUGGAAGGUUAAGAGGAGCGCUUAGCGUAAGCGAAGGUGCGAAUUGAAGCCCCAGUAAACGGCGGCCGUAACUAUAACGAUUCUAAGGUAGCGAAAUUCCUUGUCGGGUAAGUUCCGACCCGCACGAAAGGCGCAACGAUCUGGGCACUGUCUCAACGAGAGACUCGGUGAAAUUAUAGUACCUGUGAAGAUGCAGGUUACCCGCGACAGGACGGAAAGACCCCGUGGAGCUUUACUGCAGCCUGAUAUUGAAUGUUGGUACAGCUUGUACAGGAUAGGUAGGAGCCUUGGAAACCGGAGCGCCAGCUUCGGUGGAGGCAUCGGUGGGAUACUACCCUGGCUGUAUUGACCUUCUAACCCGCCGCCCUUAUCGGGCGGGGAGACAGUGUCAGGUGGGCAGUUUGACUGGGGCGGUCGCCUCCUAAAAGGUAACGGAGGCGCCCAAAGGUUCCCUCAGAAUGGUUGGAAAUCAUUCGCAGAGUGUAAAGGCACAAGGGAGCUUGACUGCGAGACCUACAAGUCGAGCAGGGACGAAAGUCGGGCUUAGUGAUCCGGUGGUUCCGCAUGGAAGGCCAUCGCUCAACGGAUAAAAGCUACCCCGGGGAUAACAGGCUUAUCUCCCCCAAGAGUCCACAUCGACGGGGAGGUUUGGCACCUCGAUGUCGGCUCAUCGCAUCCUGGGGCUGUAGUCGGUCCCAAGGGUUGGGCUGUUCGCCCAUUAAAGCGGUACGCGAGCUGGGUUCAGAACGUCGUGAGACAGUUCGGUCCCUAUCCGUCGCGGGCGCAGGAAAUUUGAGAGGAGCUGUCCUUAGUACGAGAGGACCGGGAUGGACGCACCGCUGGUGUACCAGUUGUUCUGCCAAGGGCAUCGCUGGGUAGCUAUGUGCGGACGGGAUAAGUGCUGAAAGCAUCUAAGCAUGAAGCCCCCCUCAAGAUGAGAUUUCCCAUUCCGCAAGGAAGUAAGAUCCCUGAAAGAUGAUCAGGUUGAUAGGUCUGAGGUGGAAGUGUGGCGACACAUGGAGCUGACAGAUACUAAUCGAUCGAGGACUUAACCAA